rnacentral:tRNA from 1 species
CCGACCUUAGCUCAGUUGGUAGAGCGGAGGACUGUAGUUGAAACUGUUAUCCUUAGGUCGCUGGUUCGAAUCCGGCAGGUCGGA